rnacentral:rRNA from 1 species
GAUGAACGCUGGCGGCGUGCCUAAUACAUGCAAGUCGAGCGAACAGAUGAGGAGCUUGCUCCUCUGACGUUAGCGGCGGACGGGUGAGUAUCACGUGGAUAACCUACCUAUAAGACUGGGAUAACUUCGGGAAACCGGAGCUAAUACCGGAUAAUAUAUUGAACCGCAUGGUUCAAUAGUGAAAGACGGUUUUGCUGUCACUUAUAGAUGGAUCCGCGCCGCAUUAGCUAGUUGGUAAGGUAACGGCUUACCAAGGCAACGAUGCGUAGCCGACCUGAGAGGGUGAACGGCCACACUGGAACUGAGACACGGUCCAGACUCCUACGGGAGGCAGCAGUAGGGAAUCUUCCGCAAUGGGCGAAAGCCUGACGGAGCAACGCCGCGUGAGUGAUGAAGGUCUUCGGAUCGUAAAACUCUGUUAUUAGGGAAGAACAAAUGUGUAAGUAACUAUGCACGUCUUGACGGUACCUAAUCAGAAAGCCACGGCUAACUACGUG